rnacentral:tRNA from 1 species
CCGACCUUAGCUCAGCUGGAAGAGCGCGAGACUGUAAUUGGAUAACGGCGAUUACGUAAUAUCUUGAGGUCGCCUGUUCGAGCCAGGCAGGUCGGA